GUCCCUGUCGCGCAAUGGAUAGCGCUUUGGAUUUCUUAUCCAAAGACCGUGCUUUCGAAUCCCACCUGGGAUG